GAAAUAUUGCAAAAAGCCACAUGACCUAAUUCUGAAAUAAGCAAGGUGCCACCUACUCCCAAUUCCGAUCAGAUUUUCGGCCAAAAGGAGAGCACAUGCCUCUCACAAGUCAAAUAUAAAGGGUAAGAAGGUCAUACUGAUUAAACUUGGUGGUAAAAAAAAUCAAAAUAAAAUAAAAUUUGGGUAUAAUUACCCUCCCCCAAUUCCACGCACUGUGAUAUCGUGUCUUCCGACCAGCCCCUGUGACCUCAACUCCUCGACCAGCCUCCGGCGACUGCUCCGGCCGAUCAGACCGAGUGCGAUCACAUCUCCUCAACCAGAUGUCGGUGCAGACCGUACUAGCGACUCCUUCUCCCCGGCCUCAGCUUCUCGCAGACUACAGUACGGCGCCUUUUGAUUUUACAGAACCCGUUCGCCUGUUGGGUAUUUCCUGAGUAGUUACUGGAGGUGGAAUUAGAUUAGUGUCUGAGCAUGAAACUCACGGCUUGACUAGUAUUUUUGCAACUUAUGCUACCAAUCUUGCUAUCAUCGCGGGAUGCUAUAGCUAUUAUAGUAAAUCCUUGCUCGUUUUUCUCAAGAUUUUGAGGUUUCCUUGCGCCAUGCGGUUGUAUGUUACUUCUUCAUGAAAUGACAUUGGGUAUCGGGUUUUAAGAAUGACCCAGUUACGUUAUUA